rnacentral:rRNA from 1 species
GUGGGGAAUUUUGGACAAUGGGCGCAAGCCUGAUCCAGCAAUGCCGCGUGAGUGAAGAAGGCCUUCGGGUUGUAAAGCUCUUUUGUCAGGGAAGAAACGGUGCGGAUUAAUACUCUGCGCUAAUGACGGUACCUGAAGAAUAAGCACCGGCUAACUACGUGCCAGCAGCCGCGGUAAUACGUAGGGUGCAAGCGUUAAUCGGAAUUACUGGGCGUAAAGCGUGCGCAGGCGGUUUUGUAAGUCUGUCGUGAAAGCCCCGGGCUCAACCUGGGAAUUGCGAUGGAGACUGCAAGGCUUGAAUCUGGCAGAGGGGGGUAGAAUUCCACGUGUAGCAGUGAAAUGCGUAGAGAUGUGGAGGAACACCGAUGGCGAAGGCAGCCCCCUGGGUCAAGAUUGACGCUCAUGCACGAAAGCGUGGGGAGCAAACAGGAUUAGAAACCCUAGUAGUCC